GCCAGACUCCUACGGGAGGCAGCAGUGGGGGAUAUUGCACAAUGGGGGAAACCCUGAUGCAGCGACGCCGCGUGAGUGAAGAAGUAUUUCGGUAUGUAAAGCUCUAUCAGCAGGGAAGAAAAAAGACGGUACCUGACUAAGAAGCCCCGGCUAACUACGUGCCAGCAGCCGCGGUAAUACGUAGGGGGCAAGCGUUAUCCGGAUUUACUGGGUGUAAAGGGAGCGUAGACGGCAAUACAAGUCGGAAGUGAAAUACCCGGGCUCAACCUGGGAACUGCUUUGGAAACUGUAUGGCUGGAGUGCAGGAGAGGUAAGUGGAAUUCCUAGUGUAGCGGUGAAAUGCGUAGAUAUUAGGAGGAACACCAGUGGCGAAGGCGGCUUACUGGACUGUAACUGACGUUGAGGCUCGAAAGCGUGGGGAGCAAACAGGAUUAGAUACCCCUGUAAG
rnacentral:rRNA from 1 species